UACGAAGGGGGCUAGCGUUGCUCGGAAUCACUGGGCGUAAAGCGCACGUAGGCGGAUUGUUAAGUCAGGGGUGAAAUCCUGGAGCUCAACUCCAGAACUGCCUUUGAUACUGGCGAUCUUGAGUCCGGGAGAGGUGAGUGGAACUGCGAGUGUAGAGGUGAAAUUCGUAGAUAUUCGCAAGAACACCAGUGGCGAAGGCGGCUCACUGGCCCGGUACUGACGCUGA
rnacentral:rRNA from 1 species